rnacentral:rRNA from 1 species
UGGGGAAUAUUGCACAAUGGGCGCAAGCCUGAUGCAGCCAUGCCGCGUGUAUAAAGAAGGCCUUCGGGUUGUAAAGUACUUUCAGUCGGGAGGAAGGUGGUAAGGUUAAUAACCUUAUCAAUUGACGUUACCGACAGAAGAAGCACCGGCUAACUCCGUGCCAGCAGCCGCGGUAAUACGGAGGGUGCAAGCGUUAAUCGGAAUUACUGGGCGUAAAGCGCACGCAGGCGGUUGAUUGAGUCAGAUGUGAAAUCCCCGGGCUUAACCCGGGAAUUGCAUCUGAUACUGGUCAGCUAGAGUCUUGUAGAGGGGGGUAGAAUUCCAUGUGUAGCGGUGAAAUGCGUAGAGAUGUGGAGGAAUACCGGUGGCGAAGGCGGCCCCCUGGACAAAGACUGACGCUCAGGUGCGAAAGCGUGGGGAGCAAACAGG